GCCCCCGUGGCGGAACUGGCAGACGCGUCCACUUGCCAAGUGGGUGACCGGAAGGUCGUGUGGGUUCGAGUCCCACCGGGGGCA
rnacentral:tRNA from 1 species